rnacentral:rRNA from 1 species
AUUGAACGCUGGCGGCAUGCCUUACACAUGCAAGUCGAACGGUAACGGGCCUUCGGGUGCCGACGAGUGGCGAACGGGUGAGUAAUGUAUCGGAACGUACCUUUCAGUGGGGGAUAACGUAGCGAAAGUUGCGCUAAUACCGCAUAUUCUGUGAGCAGGAAAGCAGGGGAUCGCAAGACCUUGCGCUGAUUGAGCGGCCGAUAUCAGAUUAGCUAGUUGGUGAGGUAAAGGCUCACCAAGGCGACGAUCUGUAGCGGGUCUGAGGGGAUGAUCCGCCACACUGGAACUGAGACACGGUCCAGACUCCUACGGGAGGCAGCAGUGGGGAAUUUUGGACAAGGGGGGCAACCCUGAUCCAGCCAUGCCGCGUGAGUGAAGAAGGCCUUCGGGUUGUAAAGCUCUUUCGGCCGGGAAGAAAUCGUAUCAGCUAAUACCUGGUGCGGAUGACGGUACCGGCAUAAGAAGCACCGGCUAACUACGUGCCAGCCGCCGCAGUAAGAC